UUGCAGGAAAUUGGAUGGAGCUAAAAAACAUUAUUUUGAAUGAGGUAACCCAGACACAUAAAGACAAUUAUCACAUGUACUCACUCAUAGGUGGUUUUUAAACAUAAAGCAAAAAAAAAAACAGCCUACAAACCACAAUCCCAGAGAACUUAGACAACAAUGAGGACACAAGAGAGACUCACAUAGAUCUAAUCUACAUGGGAAGUAGAAAGCAGAAAAAGACAAGAUCUCCUGAGUAAAUUGGGAGCAUGGGGACCUUGGGGGAGGGCUAAAGGGGGAGGGGAGAGGCAGGGAGGGGAGCAGAGAAAAACGUAGAGCUCAAAAUAUAAAAAAGCCUGUCUUUAUAAUAAAAGCUAAAAAGCAAAUAUCACAUAGUAGAGAAUAAAAUGUUUAAACAUUUUAUACUUCACAUGUAUUUUGUAUCUAUUAAAUAAGUUAGUUCCAACUAUUUCCCUCAUUGUUUAAGGAAUAACUUUUAGCUUGUCUUGUGGUUUAAUCCCAGCACCCAGGAGGCAGACAGGCAGGCAGGCAGAUCUGUGAGUUUGAGACCAGCCUGAUCUACAUUUCAAGUCCCAGGACAGACAGAGCUUUACAGAGGGAUCUUUAUCCUCUGGGUGUAUAGUUCAGCAAGCCCGGGGAGAUGUAUACAGUACUAUAACUGCCAUCAGAAUAAGGACACAGGACACCCCAAUAUCUGCAGCAAUUCCCUCUUCUUGGUCGACACUCUCUCCCGUUAGUUCCUGGCAAGCCCUAUUCCAUUUUCUGUCAUCAUGGAUCCCCUUCUGCCAGACUAUCACACAAAUAGAAGCACAUAGUAGGUCUCUUCUAAAGUCUAGCUACUCUCACCAAUAUAUUUGAAACCCAUUCAUGUUGGGUGGUUCACUCUCUCUCAUUGCUGAGUAGAAUUCUUAGUAGGUAUUUUGUGUGUGUGUACAUACAUAGAUACAUUUGUCUUAAAUAUUUAAUGAUUACAAAUAGACCAUUCUAAACACCCAGGUAGAGUUUCUCUUGAGUAUAGAUUUUCAUUUCACUAGGAAAAUCUCUUGGACUGUAUAUUUAACUUUACAGUGCAGCAAAUGAUUGUGCUAAGGGUCUCCUGAUUUUGCAUUCCAAUUUUUAAUGUAUGAGUUCUAGCAGUUCCAUUUCUAAUCAGUAUUUAGAGACUAUUUUUAUUUCUUUUUAUUUAUUUGUUCAUUUUUCGAGACUGUUUCUUUAUAAUAGUCUCAGGUGUUCUGGAACUCACUUUGUAGUCCAGGCAGGCCUCAAACUCACAGACAUCCACCUGCCUCUGCCUCCCAAAUGCUGGGAUUAAAGGCGUGCGCCACCACCUGGCUUGUUUUAAUUUCUUAUCCAUUCUGGUAUGUUAUUUUUCUUUGUGUGUGUGUGUGGCAGGGUGUGUGUUGAUGUUUGGUGUCUCAGAUAAGAUUUCUCACUGAACCUUGGCCUCAUCGAUUGGGCUAGGUUGGCAGGCUCCACCCCUCGCGCCCCUUAGCGGUGUAGUGCUGGGGAGCAGGCCUGUGCUGCUGUAUCUGGACUCCCGUGGGUGCUGGAGAUCUGCAUUCGGGCCCUGCUGGGAAGAAAAAAGAAAGGCAUGUGGUCUCCUGGUUACCAGCUCUUCUCAGGCCAGCUGCUUUCUGAAGGUGGGAACUGGAUUUUCUGGAGUUCUAGCUCCUCCGGCUGUGCAGUGGUUCAGGCUUCCAGGCUUCAGGAACGUCACCCACGGGAGAGGGCUUUUGAUGAUGCGGCCUCCUCUGAGUCAUUUCUGCUAUUGUAAAAACCCCUUACCCAGCUUCCUAAAAGGACUUGUUGACAUUCAAGAAAAACUAAGUUAAUCCACUGUGUACAAGUCACAUGAAGGUGAAGGAGACAGAGGAGCGGCACCUCAGAAGUCUGGAGGCUCCCCCUUCCCCCCUUUCUCUCUAUUGCACUGCUUUUCACAGUGAGCG